UGCAAGUCGAACGCGAAGGUUCCUUCGGGGACCGAGUAGAGUGGCGCACGGGUGAGUAACACGUAGGUAAUUUACCUUUGGGUGGGGAAUAACAGUCGGAAACGGCUGCUAAUACCGCAUAAUGCAGCGGCUCGACAUCGAGACAGUUGUUAAAGCGGGGGAUUCGCAAGAACCUCGCGCCUGAAGAGAAGCCUGCGGCAGAUUAGCUUGUUGGUAGGGUAAUGGCCUACCAAGGCGACGAUCUGUAGCCGGCCUGAGAGGGCGGUCGGCCACACUGACACUGAAUAACGGGUCAGACUCCUACGGGAGGCAGCAGUCGGGAAUUUUGGGCAAUGGGCGAAAGCCUGACCCAGCAACGCCGCGUGAAGGAUGAAAUUUUUCGGAAUGUAAACUUCGCAAGAAUGGGAAGAAUAAGUUCAGGCUAAUACCCUGAAUGAUGACGGUACCAUUUGUAAGCUCCGGCUAACUCCGUGCCAGCAGCCGCGGUAAUACGGGGGGAGCAAGCGUUGUUCGGAUUUACUGGGCGUAAAGGGCGCGUAGGCGGCGUGGCAAGUCACUUGUGAAAUCUCCGGGCUUAACUCGGAACGGUCAAGUGAUACUGCUGUGCUAGAGUGCGGAAGGGGCAACUGGAAUUCUUGGUGUAGCGGUGAAAUGCGUAGAUAUCAAGAGGAACACCUGCGGCGAAGGCNGGUUGCUGGGCCGACACUGACGCUGAGGCGCGAAAGCUAGGGGAGC
rnacentral:rRNA from 1 species